rnacentral:lncRNA from 1 species
AUUUGACUCAUUGGAUUUUAAAUCUCUCUAUUUUGUUUGCAGAGGCAGCAUUUUUCAGGUUUCUGAUACAGCCACUGUUUUUAAAUGAAUCGUUCGAGUAAACGAUUCAGUGAAUCACUCAUAAAGACUUGUUUACUUUUUUUAAACGAAUGAUUCUAAUGGAUAAUUCAGUGACUCACUCAUAAACACAAUCACUUGUUCCCACCUGUGACCUGUCACUGAAAAAUCCCCACCACUAAUACACAAACUGACAGCCUGGCCAGAACAUGCAAAAUCUUUUGUAUAAGUCAAAUACAUUAUAAUAAUGAAAAAGAAAGAACAAAAUAUUUCUGAUUAAAUCUGACAUGGCAAUGCAGCUGAUGUGAAAUUAAGCUUAUGGUGUUUGAAGAAAUUUCAAAGAACUAUUUUACUACUCUCAUUUUCUUGUUUGUUUUUGCCUCCCCCCCUCCUCAUCUCUUUUUCUCCCUCUUUCUUUCUAUCUAUCUUUCUUUCUUUCUCCUCAUCAGUGCGUUGGGCUCAGUAAUGACUCCCACUGUGGCAGCGGUGCCCCUUUAAGGCUGCCCCCCCCCCCCCCUCCAUGCAUUAUUCAUCAAAAUCAAAUGAGGGAACAACAGGAGCAAUAAACAUGCUGCAUGCCACUUCCUCCUCAACUCCCCAAGCUGGCCCCAGCCUGCUGGCCCAUCUCAUUCCCUCUCUCCACCCUGACCUGAGGGUUUUGGGGACUAACUUGGCACCCCUGGUUAACUCUAUGGACAAGACUUUUCUCUUGCUCCCCUGCUCCCUUCCUCCUCAUUUGUUGCACACCUCAAAGAUAUGCCUGCCUGCUGAUGUUGGAUGAUGUGCUUUGGGAUUAAACCAUGUGGCAACCAAGUGCAUAUGCAAUAUUGGGCAUCAAGAUUUGAGGGUAAGCCAUGUCUUUUUUAUAUAAUGUUUGGCCUCAAGUGCGAAGGGCAACUCGAUAAAGUGAGCACAUAUUUAAAUCUUUAUCCAUGUCUGCUCAAGCUGUUGCUUUAAGGAUUGCAUUGAAAGUGUGUUGAAAGUUGCUGUCAGUGACAUCACACAUCUUUCACACACACAAAACUGUACAUUGAACUUAGAAGAGCUGCUAAUAUUUGCAUGAACACAGGAGGGGGUUGAUAGACUAUCCUGG